GAUCAGAUUAUUGUUCCAGAGGAGGUUUUUUUUUGAAAAGGUUAAUCAGUCAGCUAGGAGGGUUUAUAUUUUGAAAUUUCAUACAGAUGAUAAGAAGUUUUUCUUCUGGAUGCAGGAGCCAAAAGAUGUCCCUUGAUGCUCCUUCAUAACCUGUACAAGUGAGGCUGUUUGUCCCUUGAUGUCCCAAACCUAAGAUGCAUCGGAUUGGUCUUUGGGACCAAAAGAGUGCUUACUAAUGCUGGGAUGGCGGCCGAAUGUUGUUGAAAUGAUUGAAGAAUAUGACAAUUACCU